UACGUAGGGCGCAAGCGUUGUCCGGAAUUAUUGGGCGUAAAGAGCUCGUAGGCGGCUUGUCACGUCGGCUGUGAAAACCUGGGGCUCAACCCCGGGCCUGCAGCCGAUACGGGCAAGCUAGAAUUCGGUAGGGGAGACUGGAAUUCCUGGUGUAGCGGUGAAAUGCGCAGAUAUCAGGAGGAACACCGGUGGCGAAGGCGGGUCUCUGGGCCGAUAUUGACGCUGAGGAGCGAAAGCGUGGGGAGCGAACAGG
rnacentral:rRNA from 1 species